rnacentral:rRNA from 1 species
CAGUAGCGUAUAUUAAAGCUGUUGCGGUUAAAAAGCUCGUAGUUGGAUAUCAGUGCGUGUCCGGUCCGGUAUGCCUGGCACUGUCGCUCUGCGGCAGCGCUGGGCUCCCAAAUAUCGGCUGGCCGCAUUCAAUCGUGCCGGAUCCGUCGACGGGCCGUUUUUCGGAGGGGCCUGUUGGCGACCGGCGACGUUACCUUGAACAAAUUAGAGUGCUCAAAGCAGGCUCUGAAUGCCUGUAUACAUAUUCAUGGAAUUGGAGAAUACGUCCCUGGCUCGAUUUGGUUGGUUUUGAGAGUCGAAGGGAAAUGAUUAAUAGGGACUGACGGAGGCAUUCGUAUUGCGACGCGAGGGGUGAAAUCCUGUGACCGUCGCACGACGAACUACUGCGAAAGCAUUUGCCGAGAAUGUUUUCAUUAGUCAAGAACGAAAGUUAGAGGUUCGAAGACGAUCAGAUACCGU